UUGAGCGGAGAUAUAUGGAGCUUGCUUUAUAUAACUUAGCAGCGAACGGGUGAGUAACACGUAGAUAAUCUAUCCUAUACUGGGGGAUAGCCCGAUGAAAGUUGGAUUAAUACCGCAUAUAGCUAUAUAGUUGCAUGAUUAUGUAGUGAAAGAUUUAUUGGUAUAGGAGGAGUCUGCGGCACAUUAGCUAGUAGGUGAGGUAAAGGCUUACCUAGGCGACGAUGUGUAGCCGGUCUGAGAGGAUGAACGGCCACAAUGGAACUGAGACACGGUCCAUACUCCUACGGGAGGCAGCAGUGGGGAAUAUUGCACAAUGGGGGAAACCCUGAUGCAGCAACGCCGCGUGAGUGAAGAAGGUUUUCGGAUUGUAAAGCUCUGUUAGCAGGGAAGAGGAAGGACGGUACCUGCAGAGGAAGCCACGGCUAACUACGUGCCAGCAGCCGCGGUAAUACGUAGGUGGCAAGCGUUGUUCGGAAUAACUGGGCGUAAAGGAUGCGUAGGCGGUUAAACAAGUUAUAUGUUAAAUAUAUAGGCUUACCCUGUAGAAAGCAUAUAAAACUGUUUAACUAGAGUGCAGGAGAGGUAAGUGGAAUUCCUAGUGUAGCGGUGAAAUGCGUAGAGAUUAGGAAGAACACCAGUGGCGAAGGCGACUUACUGGACUGUAACUGACGCUGAGGCAUGAGAGCAUGGGGAGCAAACAGGAUUAGAUACCCUGGUAGUCCAUGCUGUAAACGAUGGGU
rnacentral:rRNA from 1 species